UACAGAGGGGGCUAGCGUUAUUCGGAAUUAUUGGGCGUAAAGAGCUCGUAGGCGGUCUGUCGCGUCUGCUGUGAAAACUCGGGGCUUAACCCCGGGCCUGCAGUGGGUACGGGCAGACUAGAGUGCGGUAGGGGAGACUGGAAUUCCUGGUGUAGCGGUGAAAUGCGCAGAUAUCAGGAGGAACACCGGUGGCGAAGGCGGGUCUCUGGGCCGUAACUGACGCUGAGGAGCGAAAGCAUGGGGAGCGAACAGG
rnacentral:rRNA from 1 species